rnacentral:rRNA from 1 species
CCCUUAAUUAUGUUACAGAAUCUAUAGAUACUUCUUUCCCUUCGGGGACAAGUGACAGGUGGUGCAUGGUUGUCGUCACCUCGUGUCGUGAGAUGUUGGGUUAAGUCCCGCAACGAGCGCAACCCUUAUUACUAUUUGCCAGCAUUUAGUUGGGCACUCUAGUGAGACUGCCGGUGACAAACCGGAGGAAAGUGGGGACAACAUCAAAUCAUCAUGCCCCUUAUGACCUGGGCUACACACGUGCUACAAUGGAUGGUACAACGAGUUGCGAGACCGCGAGGUUUAGCUAAUCUCUUAAAACCAUUCUCACUUCGGAUUGUAGGCUGCGACUCUCCUACAUGAAACCGGAAUCGCUAGUAAUCGCGGAUCACCAUGCCGCGGUGAAUACGUUCCCGGGUCUUGUACACACCGAGA